rnacentral:rRNA from 1 species
AGAGUUUGGUCCUGGCUCAGAACGAACGCUGGCGGCGUGCCUAAUACAUGCAAGUCGAACGAGGAUGUCCCUUCGGGGGCAAGCCGAGUGGCGCACGGGUGAGUAACGCGUAGGUAAUGUACCCUCGAGUUGGGAAUAACAGCCCGAAAGGACUGCUAAUACCGAAUACGAUCGCCGGAUCCCUGGAUCUGGUAAUUAAAGGUGGCCUCUGAUUUAAGCUACCGCUUGAGGAUCAGCCUGCGUCCCAUUAGCUAGUUGGUAAGGUAAUGGCUUACCAAGGCUAUGAUGGGUAGCCGGCUUAAGAGGGUGACCGGCCACACUGGAACUGAGACACGGUCCAGACUCCUACGGGAGGCAGCAGUAGGGAAUAUUGCACAAUGGGCGAAAGCCUGAUGCAGCAACGCCGCGUGAGCGAUGAAGCUUCUUGGAGUGUAAAGCUCAAUCGGCAGGGGAAUAAGUGCACGGUGGUUAAUACCCACUGUGUUUGAAGGUACCCUGAUCGAAGCUCCGGCCAACUACGUGCCAGCAGCCGCGGUAAUACGUAGGGAGCAAGCGUUGUUCGGAAUUACUGGGCGUAAAGGGCGUGUAGGCGGUUUAGUAAGUUAGGAGUGAAAUCCCUUGGCUUAACCAAGGAACUGCUCUUGAAACUGCUAGACUUGAGUGCAGGAGAGGAAGGCGGAAUUCCUAGUGUAGCGGUGAAAUGCGUAGAUACUAGGAGGAACACCGGUGGCGAAGGCGGCCUUCUGGACUGUUACUGACGCUGAGGCGCGAAAGCUAGGGUAGCAAACAGGAUUAGAUACCCUGGUAGUCCUAGCCCUAAACGAUGGGUACUAGGUGGAGCGGGCAUCGACCCUCGCUCUGCCGUAGCUAACGCAUUAAGUACCCCGCCUGGGAAGUACGUCCGCAAGGAUAAAACUCAAAGGAAUUGACGGGGGCCCGCACAAGCGGUGGAGCAUGUGGUUUAAUUCGACGCAACGCGAAGAACCUUACCGAGGCUUGACAUGUUAGUGUAAGAUAUAGAGAUAUAUCCCUCCCUUCGGGGACACUUUCACAGGUGUUGCAUGGCUGUCGUCAGCUCGUGUCGUGAGAUGUUGGGUUAAGUCCCGCAACGAGCGCAACCCUCAUCCUUAGUUGCCAACAGUUCGGCUGGGAACUCUAAGGAAACUGCCGGUGACAAACCGGAGGAAGGUGAGGAUGACGUCAAGUCAUCAUGGCCCUUACGCCUCGGGCUACACACGUGCUACAAUGGUCGGUACAAAGGGUCGCAAUACCGCGAGGUGGAGCAAAUCCCAAAAAGCCGGCCUCAGUUCGGAUUGGAGUCUGCAACCCGACUCCAUGAAGUAGGAAUCGCUAGUAAUCGUGGAUCAGCACGCCACGGUGAAUACGUUCCCGGGCCUUGUACACACCGCCCGUCACACCACGAAAGUUGGUUGCACUAGAAGUCGGUGGGCUAACCCUCUUCGGAGGGAGGCAGCCGCCUAAUGUGUGAUUGGCGAUUGGGGUGAAGUCGUAACAAGGUA